rnacentral:rRNA from 1 species
GUUUGAUCCUGGCUCAGAUUGAACGCUGGCGGCAUGCCUUACACAUGCAAGUCGAACGGCAGCACGGGAGCAAUCCUGGUGGCGAGUGGCGAACGGGUGAGUAAUGUAUCGGAACGUACCUUUCAGUGGGGGAUAACGUAGCGAAAGUUACGCUAAUACCGCAUAUUCUGUGAGCAGGAAAGCAGGGGAUCGCAAGACCUUGCGCUGAUUGAGCGGCCGAUAUCAGAUUAGCUAGUUGGUGGGGUAAAGGCCUACCAAGGCGACGAUCUGUAGCGGGUCUGAGAGGAUGAUCCGCCACACUGGAACUGAGACACGGUCCAGACUCCUACGGGAGGCAGCAGUGGGGAAUUUUGGACAAUGGGGGCAACCCUGAUCCAGCCAUGCCGCGUGAGUGAAGAAGGCCUUCGGGUUGUGAAGCUCUUUCAGCCGGGAAGAAAUCGCACGGGCUAAUACCCUGUGUGGAUGACGGUACCGGAAUAAGAAGCACCGGCUAACUACGUGCCAGCAGCCGCGGUAAUACGUAGGGUGCGAGCGUUAAUCGGAAUUACUGGGCGUAAAGCGUGCGCAGGCGGUUUAGUAAGACAGGCGUGAAAUCCCCGGGCUCAACCUGGGAACUGCGCUUGUGACUGCUAAGCUAGAGUACGGCAGAGGGGGGGUGGAAUUCCACGUGUAGCAGUGAAAUGCGUAGAGAUGUGGAGGAACACCAAUGGCGAAGGCAGCCCCCUGGGUCGAUACUGACGCUCAUGCACGAAAGCGUGGGUAGCAAACAGGAUUAGAUACCCUGGUAGUCCACGCCCUAAACGAUGUCAACUAGGUGUUGGGGUGGGUAAAACCAUUUAGUACCGGA